UACGGGGGGGGCAAGCGUUGUUCGGAAUUACUGGGCGUAAAGGGCGCGUAGGCGGCCUUCUAAGUCGGACGUGAAAUCCCUCGGCUUAACCGAGGAACUGCGUCCGAUACUGAAAGGCUUGAAUCCGGGAGAGGGAUGUGGAAUUCCAGGUGUAGCGGUGAAAUGCGUAGAUAUCUGGAGGAACACCGGUGGCGAAGGCGGCAUCCUGGACCGGUAUUGACGCUGAGACGCGAAAGCGUGGGGAGCAAACAGG
rnacentral:rRNA from 1 species